GUCACUAUUCUCUAUUUUAUUAUACCGUAUACGUCUGUGUAAGUGUUAUAGCACAAUACGUCUUGUUAAUGUUUAUGAAUAUUGUUAAAUUAUGUAAACUAUAUUGUGUCGUCGGUUUUUAAAUUUUUUUACUAACCACCCAGCUACGACGCACGUGUUGACGUAACGUACCACGUACAUCAAAAAAGUUUAGUUGUGCAGGUGCAUUUUCGCAAAUUUAGAAUCGGUCAAAAGAAGCUUAGAAUAUAAAAUCACAGAAGAGGCCAAACAAACAAGGCACUUAUUUGCAUCCCACAAUAAUAUAGGAGAUAUUAACAAAAUCACGCAAGAAGAAAACUUAGAUCACAUGCCCAAAUUAAACUUAGAAGAUUUCCAACAGUUUGAUAAUGAAUUAAAACAUAACUUGAAGUUAAUAAAAAAGCUGGUAGAAUUACUACUGAAACUGCACAGUUUUAUUUGCUUUGUAAAUCUAUUUUUUAUUUUUUAGAAAUGUUUUAUGUUGAUCACCAUUAAAAGUGGAGAUAAAUUAUCUGAAAGUUUAAAAGCAGUUAUUCCGAGAAUAAUUUCGAAGGAAGUACAAUUAUUAUAAUAAUUAUAGUGCUUUUGGAAGGGAAACUAAUGGAAGCAAGAAACUGAACUUUUCUAGGACACAAUCAUACUUAUUAGAAACCAUUACUACCAAAGACCCUAAUUUAAAACUAAAGGAUAUUUCAAGCCAACUAGCCGUUGGUUUUCGGGUGCUAAGGAUCGUGAAGGUGGGAAGAAAGAAAGGAUUUUUAAGAAAAUGAAACAGCCUUAGUAGAGAAGA